rnacentral:rRNA from 1 species
AGUGAACGCUGGCGGCGUGCCUAAUACAUGCAAGUCGAACGAAUUGGCGCACGGGUGAGUAAUAUAUAUUUAAUCUGCCCUACACAGAGUAACAACAGUUGGAAACGACUGCUAAUACCUCAUAGUGUAGGAUGAGACUAUAUCGUAUCAGCUAGUUGGUAAGGUAGUGGCCUACCAAGGCGACGAAGGGUAGCCGACCUGAGAGGGCGAGCGGCAACAUUGGGACGGAGAGACGGCCCAAACUCCUACGGGAGGGAGCAGUGGGGAAUAUGGCACAAUGGGGGAAACUCUGAUGAAGCAACGGAGCGUGGAGGAUGACACUUUGCGGAGAGUAAACUCCUUUUAUCAUGAAAGCGGUACCUGAUGAAUAAGCACCGGCUAACUCCGUGCCAGCAGCCGCGGUAAUUC